rnacentral:rRNA from 1 species
AUUGUGCCAGCAGCCGCGGUAAUACGCAGGGUGCGAGCGUUGUCCGGAAUUACUGGGCGUAAAGAGCUCGUAGGUGGUUUGUCGCGUUGUUCGUGAAAUCUCACGGCUUAACUGUGAGCGUGCGGGCGAUACGGGCAGACUGGAGUACUGCAGGGGAGACUGGAAUUCCUGGUGUAGCGGUGGAAUGCGCAGAUAUCAGGAGGAACACCGGUGGCGAAGGCGGGUCUCUGGGCAGUAACUGACGCUGAGGAGCGAAAUCUUGGGGGAGCGAACAGGAUUAGAUACCCUGGUAGUCCACGCCGUAAACGGUGGGUACUAGGUGUGGGUUUCCUUCCUUGGGAUCCGUGCCGUAGCUAACGCAUUAAGUACCCCGCCUGGGGAGUACGGCCGCAAGCUAAAAACUCAAAGGAAUUGACGGGGGCCCGCACAAGCGGCGGAACAUGUUGGAUUAAUUCGAUGCAACGCGAAGAACCUUACCUGGGUUUGACAUGCACAGGACGCCGGCAGAGAUGUCGGUUCCCUUGUGGCCUGUGUGCAGGUGGUGCAUGGCUGUCGUCAGCUCGUGUCGUGAGAUGUUGGGUUAAGUCCCGCAACGAGCGCAACCCUUGUCUCAUGUUGCCAGCGGGUAAUGCCGGGGACUCGUGAGAGACUGCCGGGGUCAACUCGGAGGAAGGUGGGGAUGACGUCAAGUCAUCAUGCCCCUUAUGUCCAGGGCUUCACACAUGCUACAAUGGCCGGUACAAAGGGCUGCGAUGCCGCGAGGUUAAGCGAAUCCUUUUAAAGCCGGUCUCAGUUCGGAUCGGGGUCUGCAACUCGACCCCGUGAAGUCGGAGUCGCUAGUAAUCGCAGAUCAGCAACGCUGCGGUGAAUACGUUCCCGGGCCUUGCACACACCGCCCGUC